rnacentral:rRNA from 1 species
AUUGAACGCUGGCGGCAGGCCUAACACAUGCAAGUCGAGCGGGGUUUUCGGACCUAGCGGCGGACGGGUGAGUAAUGCGUAGGAAGCUACCCGAUAGAGGGGGAUACCAGUUGGAAACGACUGUUAAUACCGCAUAAUGUCUACGGACCAAAGUGUGGGACCUUCGGGCCACAUGCUAUCGGAUGCGCCUACGUGGGAUUAGCUAGUUGGUGGGGUAAUGGCUCACCAAGGCGACGAUCCCUAGCUGGUUUGAGAGGAUGAUCAGCCACACUGGAACGGGGACACGGUCCAGACUCCUACGGGAGGCAGCAGUGGGGAACAUUGGACAAUGGGCGCAAGCCUGAUCCAGCCAGGCCGCGUGUGUGAAGAAGGCCUUCGGGUUGUAAAGCACUUUCAGUAGGGAGGAAGAGUUGAGUGUUAAUAGUACUCAGCUUUGACAUUACCUACAGAAGAAGCACCGGCCAACUCUGUGCCAGCAGCCGCCGUAAUAC